CGCGGGGUGGAGCAGUUGGCAGCUCGUCGGGCUCAUAACCCGAAGGUCGCAGGUUCAAGUCCUGCCCCCGCUA
rfam:Proteiniclasticum ruminis strain ML2 genome assembly, contig: Ga0073291_101